GACGUAGGGGGCAAGCGUUGUCCGGAUUCAUUGGGCGUAAAGAGCGUGUAGGCGGCCAGGUAGGUCGGAUGUGAAAACUCGAGGCUCAACCUCGAGACGUCGAUGGAAACCAUCUGGCUAGAGUCCGGAAGAGGAGAGUGGAAUUCCUGGUGUAGCGGUGAAAUGCGCAGAUAUCAGGAAGAACACCUAUGGCGAAGGCAGCUCUCUGGGACGGUACUGACGCUGAGACGCGAAAGCGUGGGGAGCGAACAGG
rnacentral:rRNA from 1 species